rnacentral:lncRNA from 1 species
AAAAUCAAACUUCUGGUUACUGAAGGGGAAACCCUAGAUGAAAGGGAUGAAUUGGGAGGGUGGGAUUAACACAUGCACUCUUCUGUGUAGAAAAUAGAUAACUUACAAGAACCUACUGCAGAGCCCAAGGAGGUCUACUCAGUGUUCUGAAAUAACCUAUAUGGCAAAAAAGAAUGGAUACACACACACACACACACACACACAACUGAUUUACUUCGUUGUAUACCUGAAAUACAUCAUUGCAGAUCAACUAUACUCCAAUAAAAUUUAAAAGUAUAAGUAAAAAAAAAAUCCAUGUAUAACUCAAUCAUAAAAAUACACCUAUUAAUAUUUAAGUAUAUUUGAUUCCUGUCUUCUUUUAAUAAAUUAUUUUUAUUUUGCACUGGAUGGAGUUCUCAUGAUAAAGAUUAGGGGAAGCAGGAAAGGACAAAAUAGAGAACACCCCCCCCAAGCCCCCCCCCCCCGCCCACCGUGGUCGUACAGGUGUUAGGUAGUGAUUGGCUGAUGCUUAGAAUAAGCAUAACUUCCCUGAACCUUUCUCACCCAUGAAGCAAAAUACCCAGGCCACUCUGGGAGAGGCAGACCUUGCUCCUUAUGGAGAGAAAUAAGCACACUGCUCCCUAGGAGAAGGUCAGGCAGUACUGAAGACCCUCCACUGAUAACAAAGCCAAAGCCCAUUACUAUGCAGAGUGAGCAGGAAACUCUUCUGCCUGUGAUCCCACAGAAUUAAAGUAUGAGGCACAAUUUUGCCUCCGUGGAAUGUAAGAGUGAGAGAACUAAGAAAGGCUGGCCGUUCAGACUCAAGGAAGGAAUCUUCCUGAACAAGGAAGACCGAGAUUCUUUGCUGCACCUCCUCCCUCACCAUCUCCACUAGGUGCCUUGAAUGCAGAAACAAGCAGAAGACAUCCAUUCCUGGUGAAGGAGCAGGGAGGUGGAGAGAGGCACAUCCCAUCCAUCCAGGAAAUGUUGAAAUCUGAGAAUAAAAGAAGCAAACUGUUGCCCAGGCUCUGCAGGAAACACAAGGGCACACCAGCCCACAGCUGAAGAAAUCUGAAGCUUCUGAUGCACUGAUUAGAAACAACCAACAAAAACAGAGCAACAAAAACAACCAACAUGGCUCAAUUCCUGAAUAAAGAGACUCAACUCCCAUACUAACUGCCGGACAGAGACAGAGGUGUGUACAUUUCUGGGCAUACGUACUAUGUAUUUCAGCCUCUACAAAUCAUCUCUACAACCAAUGCAGAGGUAGGGAAAGGCAUGGAUGAUGUUAAAAAUACACUUACCAUCUAAUCCAGAAAUCUUACUCCUAGAUUUUUACCUAAGAGAAAUUAAAGUAUACAUUUAUAUCAACACUUAAAAGUGAUUUUAUAAACUUUAUUUAUAAUAUCCCCAUGCUGGAGACAACCCAAAUGUCCAUCGACUGGUGAAUGGAUAAACAAUAGAAUACCACUCACCGCAAUGAACCUAGUGCAACAUGAACCGGUGGGAAUAAAUUUCAAAAGCAUAGUGCUAGGUGAAAGAAGCCAGACACAAAAGGCUUAUACGGGUGAUUCCAUUUAUAUGAAGUUUUAGAAAAAUGAAAAUUAUGGGGUUAGAAAUAAAAUAAUUGAUUGCCUUCACUGGGGUUGGGGAAUAAGGAUUGAAUGCCAGUGGGUGUGAGAAAAUGAUUGAAGGUAAUUAGAAUAUUCUGUGUUUUGAUUGUGGUAGUUGUGAGUAUAUUUGUUUAUUUAUUUGUCAAAAUAUAUGUUACCUUAAAAGGGGUAAAUUUUACUCUAUGUAUAUUUUGCCAUAUUAUACUCGAGUUUAAAAAAUAACAUAAAAGAUGAUUUAGAGUCUUUGGAGAACAGUAAUAAGAACAAAUAGCACUGCGAAUCCUAUUCAAGAUUUAUUCUCUGUUGAGGUUUUUAAGAUGCAUUAUUUACAGCUUUUUCCCUGGCGGUUUGAGGUUUCAAUUUUUCCACAAUUACUCAACUAUUGAAUUUGAUUGCAGCACAUGAUUGUUUGGUUUUCUUGAAUAUUUUCUCCUUUUAGAGAGCCCAAUUAAUGUCACUGUAUUCUGUUUAAGAAGCUGUGUUGAUCAGAAAUGUUUUCACUUUUCUCCUUCCCCUGAUGAAACCUAGAUGCUUAUGUAGGUGCUUUUCUCCCUAAGCCUGAAGUUUUGUGAGUCCCUUUCCACUUCCUGUUUCACAGGCAUUGAUGAAGUAUGUAGGGUAACGAUGGGAACAAUAUAUUGAAUUCUUUUAUGCUUUGUUUUUGUUUAUUUGUUUUUGUCUUUUUGCCUUUUCGAGGGCCACUCCAGGACAUAUGGAGGUUCCCAGGAUAGGGGUCUAAUUGCAGCGGUAGCCGCAGGCAAUGCCAGCUCCUUAACCCACUGAGUAAGGCCAGGGAUCGAACCCGCAACCUCAUAUUUCCUAGUUGGAUUCGUUAACCACUGAGCCACGAUGGGAACUCCUACACUUUGUUUUUUUUUUUAAUUUUUUAAUCAAAAUAUAGUUGGCCUAUGGUGUUGUGCCAAUUUCUGCUACAGCAAAGGGACUCAUAUAUGUCUGAGGACCUUGUUGUGUAUGUUAAAUUCUUUUAUACUUUGAAUAUCAAUUUUGUAAUGUACACUGCUAUAACCGGGCUCAUCUAUUUUAUAUUGUUUUUUAGUAUUAUUUCCUUAAAACAGGAUACAUAUGAAUAUGUUUAUGAUUCAUGCAUACUUCCAGCAGUCAAGCUGGAGGAGCCUCUAAGGCCUCAUGGUCACUGGCCUUCUAACCACAGCCAAUCCUCCCGUUUACAUCAUGCAGACAUCAAAACAAAUAGCUUUGUGGUGCUGUCUUUUUCCAAAAUGUCCCCAGGCCUCUCUCUCACUGACAUUCUGACAUUCCUCUUUAUAUGUAUAGUUCUCUGAUAGCGUAACUUGGUUUUAGGGUUUGUGAUCUUUUUCUUUAAUCUCCAUCUUUGAUUUGGCUACACAUGCAAGCAGCAUUUUGAGGAAGAUUCACCCAGACCUGCUCCCUUGUCUCUUGAUUCUUGUGUAUUUUGAUUCUUGUGGCUUCCCAGGCUAGAGUAAAGAAGAUCCCCUGUCCCUCUGCCAAACCUUGGACUUAAGGAAGCACCUUCCCAGACUCUUCCCAUCUCAAGUUACCCUGAAGCAGAGAUUCUCAGAAUGAGGUCUGGGGACCCUACUGGCGGACACUUUCUGGGGUUCCUAGAGGUCAAAAUUGUUUUCAUGACAGUAAGAUGUUACUUGCCUUUUCCAGUUUAUUAAUAUUUGCACACAUGGUGCAAAAGCAAGAGUGGACAAGACUGCUGAUGCCUUUGUGCAAAUCAAGGCAAAAGUACUAAGCUGUAUUAAUACUUAACCUAAAUUGUUCACCACUACACAAAUUCACACACACAUACCUACAAAAAGCCAAUUUCAUUUAAGAAUGUACUCGAUAAAUCAGGUAAGGUAUAAAUUUUAUAAUUUUAUUAAAUAAUGACAUUGAAUACAUAUUAUUUAAUAUCCUAAGCUAUGCCAUAAAAUGAGAAGUUUAUAAAGGAUUCUUGCUGCAUGUGAAGUUUGGUGUCUUCAGGAAAGGGGCUAGUGUGAUUGUAUUAGUUGUGAGCUGAACCAGUCCCUUUUUUUUUUCCCCCAGUUUCACUUGGAAAAUAGAUGAGUAAACUAUGGUGAUUAGAUUUAGGUCUGUGGGGGACAUUUUCUCAAAAAUGAAUGAAUUGAGCCUGUCUUCACAGCAAACAACUGACAGUAUUUAUUGUCAGUGAUAAAAUUUGAGGAAUAAUUUAGGAAUAAUUAAAAUUUUGGAAAAUUUGUAUCUACCAUUGUGAACUUGACCAUUUACCAGUAUUUUAAAAAUGUGAAGUCAUUGGUGGUGAUGUUAAUAAUUGUGAUAGUUUGAUGUUGUACAUGAAAAUAUGUGCACAUUCAGAAGAUUUUCAUAACCAAGUUAACUGUUAUUUUCUAAUUGACCUGUGUAUGUUAUCACACACACAGUCGCAUAUGGAUAAAAUAUCUAUUCAAAGUGCAAAAUAGACCAAAGGGAUCUCUAUGUAACAGAGCACAAAGAAAACUCACUGAUGUGAUUUUAGAAUUUACUUUGUAAAAAAUAAGUGCGAAGAAAUACCUCUCAUCAAGAUUGCAUGCAGUAUGAAAAAGGAAUAUCGUUUUCUGACUAUUGAAAUAUUUCUUCUUUUCUUAACUACAGAUUUAAUGCAGAACAGGUAUGAGGAUACAUCUCAUGAUAUUAAAGAGAUUUAUAGGAACAUAAAACAAUGUCCCCUUUCUCGGUAUUUUGUACUAGAAAUAUAUUUUUUCUAAAAGUAUAUUACCUUUGUUAGCAAGAAAUAUGUUUACUAUUAUUUUAAAUGAAUUAACAUCUAAAUAUUUUAUAACUUCUCAAUUUUAAUUUCUAAUAUAGCAAAUAUUGAUAUAAUCCACAUGAACAAAAGCUCUUUGGGGUUAUCAAUAGUUUUUAUGAGUGCAAAAGCUUUCUGAGGCCAAUAUGUUUAAGAAAUGCAGUCCUAGAGCCUUGUAUACUAAAAGGCUCCAUGUAUAACGUACUUGGUCUCAGUGGAUUCACUAAAACUAAAUUAAAAGUUACAUGGAAUUUUGGAAUCAGAACUUAGACCCCAUCAUCCAGCUGAUGAAAGAACUGGCCAAGUAUCAGGAGCAAGGACUUUUGCAAGGCUUUAGCCUAAUGCCUCACAAGGAUCCAUUAUUCCAAUCUCUUGAGAAUUUCUACCAGAUUGCUCAACUUCUUGAUGAAAUCCACUUUAUACAGCUUGCCUUAGGGUUCCUGUGUCAGAGUGAAGCCUAUUGAUAGACGGUUCAGGUGAGACUGAGCUGAGUAGUCGGUGUUACUUCCACUCCACUGGAAAGACAAUUACUCAUUGUUUACCUUGAAAAUCAAGGUUAUUAGCUCCACUCAAUAUGAGAGAGCCCAAAUCAUGAUUUUCUAUUAAAUAAACUCUCAGUGGGGUACAAAUUAUGGCUGAACAUAUGAGUAUAUUACACGAUAUAUUAUUGUGCUCAGUUUUACAAAGAGACUGGUCAAACUCUAGGAUACACAGUUCAAAAUGAGAAAAUGUCCAAACAAGAGACCAUUUAGAAUUUCAUGUAAAACUAGAAGAGGGUCUUCAGGUUUGUUCCAACCCUCUGUUAGGGGCUGGAUUGAGAGAAGAACCCACUUGUGUACCUCUUUGUCCACAGCCACUUAUCUUAGGCCAUGUUCCCUGGAAGACAUGGAAGUAGGCAAAGGCUUCUGCACUGACACGUAAUUAAGACGAAUAGUCCCAGGAAUGAAGACCUCUGGCCACUGCUUGUUACCAAACACUACUGAUUGCUUGAUCUCACAGAACCAUCUUUAGAGAAGCCACAUGCAUCCCAGCAUCUCAGGAAAGUAUGUCUGCGGAGGGCAAGGAGAAUGAUCUGCUGAAUGCUUUAUCUUACCUCAAGGAGAAUGAUCUGCUGAAUGCUUUAUCCUACCUCAUUGGUCAGCGGUCCGCUCUGCAGUAUGUCAAAAGCCACUGAGCACGUCCCAAGGAUCUCAUGCUUCAUCUGGUUGAGGGAAGACAGAGCAACAGACAAUGGGUCCAGGGCAUGGAUGGGAAAAGAGAUGUUCUCCAGUGGUACCCAUGCUAACCUGGUCUCUGCAGAUACUAGAAAGAAGUAAACGGUCAAGGGCCCUGGUGAUGCUAUUGCUGAGCUCUGAUAUGUCAUGGAGGUUGGGUCUGAUAUGUUGGUCUGCAGAGAGCUAGUAAAAUUCCUUAAAAGACAAUUAUACCUGCACUGCAUUUUGGGUGGCAUGCCUCUUUGCUUGCGUAUCAUCCAUUCAUACAUAAAUCCUGGAUCCCACUGAAAAACCAGGCAUGCCAAAGAAAGAGGCUGCUUCGCCUUAAGGAAGGACCCUGACUUGCAGAUGUCAGGCAUUUCAGAUGUAAUCAACUUCAUAUUGGCUUCUAUAAAUAAUUAAGUAAAUCUACAGAUGAGUUGGUGUCUCAAAUUCUCCCAUUGUGUUGUUACUCCUAUUGAAUUUCUUUCAACAAGGAUAUCAGGUUAAACUCCAGUCCUUCCUUAGUAAAAUUUAUAUUUUCAAUUUUUUUUCAACAUAAAGAAAUAUUUUACCGAUAGAAUUAGUAUAUGGAAUGAAUCCCUAAGUGUGCAGCUUCCCACUGUGUUGGCCUGGUGUCCUCUUGAAGCACCUCACAGACUAAUCACUAAUCUGCCCUUCCCAUAUGGCCUUUGCAUCCUAACAGCAUCUCCUGCUUUCCAGGUUCUUCACACUGAACGUAUGUCCUUCCAG